rnacentral:misc_RNA from 1 species
AACGCACAUUGCGCCCAUUGGUAUUCCGAUGGGCAUGCCUGUUCGAGCGUCAUUAUCCUCCCUCAAACCUCGGGUUUGGUGUUGGACCGCGUUGGCCGAGCGACCAACUGGUCUCAAAGACAAUGACGGCGUCCGUGGGACCCUCGGUGCAACGAGCUUCUAAGGAGCACGCGUCGAGUUUCAAGGACCCUCCGGGCCGGUCUUGACCUCUAUCUUCUCAGGUUGACCUCGGAUCAGGUAGGAAUACCCGCUGAACUUAA